CAAAAAUGAUGAAAUGGAGGCUGUCCUACUUUGGGCACAUCCGGAGAAGGCAGGAGUCUGGGGAAAAGACAAUCAUGCUGGCAGAAGUUGAAAGCAGCAGGAAAUGAGGAAGAGGGAACAGGAGAUGGAUCGACUCCCUCAAAGAAACCACAGGAUUUAUACAAGAGCUGAGCAGGGCAGGGGAAGGCAGGACCUUUCAGAGAGCGGUCAUUCCUAGGGGUCUCUGCGAGUUGACGACACGUCUGAACGACAAGAUACCGACGCCGUUGACCCACUUGUCGUGGGAAGACGGUGAAAUGGCAACAGCCCUCGCCUCUCAGUCCUCCUAGGGUUGAGCCAAAAGGCGCUCUCCGCGACGCCAGACCCCCUUGCAAGAGGGAAAGGCGGCCACCCUCGGACCCCCCCUCCCCUUCCAGGAAGGGGAAGGGGCUGCUUCUGCAGGAGGGGAGGGGGCUACCUACAGAUGCGAGAAAGGGGGGGCGAGGGAAAAGGAGACCAGCCGAGCUGCUUUUGCCUGAGAAGAACCCCCCCAUCCUCAGUUUGUCGCCUGGAAAUGGGGGUGGGGUGUCCACGCGUGUGAUCGUGUCCCAGCAAUGGACGGGCGGCAUAUUGGUGGGAGGGGGGCAUAGUCCCUUCUCACCCCCAGCCCUCCCCCUAGAUAUUGCUGGGGAGGGGAAGGAAAACAUCCCUGGAAAGGGGUCGAUGGCUCCGCACCGGUUGCGGGCGGAAGGAGGUGUGAUGGCAACACAGGCAGGCUGUGAAUCAUCUCCUCCUAGAAGAGGAGAAAGAGCAGUUAUGAAACUAUCUCAGGUAAGGUAGGGGUCAUCAGGGAGAAACAGGAGGGGACCUCAUGCUUUUCUCUUUCCACAGGUAUGGGGGAGGGAGAGAAAAUCCUGUCUCUUUAUUUUAAUGCUUGACCUGAUGAAAUGAGAAAAUUGUUGUUUAUUCGUUUAGUCAUGUCUGACUCUUCGUGACCCCAUGGACCAGAGCACGCCAGGCCCUCCUGUCUUCCACUGCCUCCCGGAGUUCGGUCAAAUUCAUGUUGGUCGCUUCGAUAACACUGUCCAACCAUCUCAUCCUCUGUCGUCCCCUUCUCCUCUUGCCUUCACACUUUUCCAACAUCAGGGUCUUUUCCAGGGAGUCUUCUCAUGAGAUGGCCAAAGUAUUGGCGCCUCAGCUUCAGGAUCUGUCCUUCCAGUGAGCACUCAGGGUUGAGAAAAUCUGAAGUCCUAAAACCCAUAAAUAUAAAAUUAAAGGGGAGUGGACACCUUACAAUGGAACUCAGGUGGAACAUCUGCUUUCAAGCCUGGAGUAGAAGCGUGUGUGAGAAAGACUUUCUCUGAGUAGAAGUCUAUUUUCUUUCUUUCUUUCAGCAGUUGAUGUCCUUUGAUAAGGUGGCUGUAUAUUUCACCAAGGGAGAGUGGGAUCUCCUGGAUCCAGCCCAAAGAGCUCUCUACAAGGAAGUCAUGUUAGAAAAUUACGCUGUUGUAACAUCUCUGGGUAAGGAUUUGUUUUCCUUGAUGGUUACCUGCUGGAGAGUUUGGUUUGUUUUCUAGGACAUUUCCAUCGAUGAGCCUAAGAGGCCACAGAUAUAGAUCCAUGUCACAGGCUAAAGGCUUCAAAGAGUAAAACCGGUUGCAUCUCCUGUGAGGCCAAUGUUAGGGGUGUAAUCUUUCUUUUUUGUUUUUUUUUAAGGGGGGACUCCAGCUCUGAAUAUUCUCCAACAUUAUCCCAGGCACAAUUCCGAAAGCUCCGUGUUGGUUGGUUGGUUGGUUUACCAAAUAUUUAUAUACCACCAAACAUAGUGACAAGCACUAUUCUGGGCAGUUGAGAAUAAAAAGGAACACACAUACCGAAUAAACCCA
rnacentral:lncRNA from 1 species